UAGUCCACGCCGUAAACUAUGCUUACUCGGUAUAUGCCAUUGGUAUGUGCCUAAGGGAAACCGAUAAGUAAGCCACCUGGGGAGUACGUUCGCAAGAAUGAAACUCAAAGGAAUUGACGGGGGCCCGCACAAGCGGUGGAGCAUGUGGUUUAAUUCGAUGAUACGCGAGGAACCUUACCAGGGCUUAAAUGUAGAUUGCAUUAGCUAGAGAUAGCUAUUUCUUCGGACUAUCUACAAGGUGCUGCAUGGUUGUCGUCAGCUCGUGCCGUGAGGUGUCAGGUUAAGUCCUAUAACGAGCGCAACCCCUGUUGUUAGUUGCCAGCAUGUAAAGAUGGGAACUCUAGCAAGACUGCCGGUGCAAACCGUGAGGAAGGUGGGGAUGACGUCAAAUCAUCACGGGCCCUUACGUCCUGGGGCUACACACGUGCUACAAUGGUAUAGACAAUGAGCAGCCACUUCGCGAGAAGGGAGC
rnacentral:rRNA from 1 species